rnacentral:tRNA from 1 species
GCCCGGUUAGCUCAAUCGGUAGAGCGUGAGACUCUUAAUCUCAAGGUUGCGGGUUCGACCCCCGCACCGGGCU